CCUACGGGAGGCAGCAGGAGGGAAUAGUGCACAAUGGGGGAAACCCGGAAGCAGCAACGCCGCGUGGAGGAUGAAGGUCUUCGGAUUGUAAACGCCUGUUGGUAGAGAAGAGAAUGACGGUACCUAACGAAUAAGCACCGGCUAACUCCGGGCCAGCAGCCGCGGUAAUACGUAGGGAGCAAGCGUUAUUCGGAAUUACUGGGCGUAAAGAGCGCGUAGGCGGGAUAGCAAGUCAGGUGUGAAAGCCUAUGGCUUAACCAUAGAACUGCAUUUGAAACUGUUAUUCUAGAGUAUGGGAGGGGUAGGUGGAAUUCUUGGUGUAGUGGUCAAAUCCGUAGAGAUCACGAGGAAUACUCAUUGCGAAGGCGGCCUGCUAGACCGUAACUGACGCUGAUGCGCGAAAGCGUGGGGAGCAAACAGGAUUAGAUACCCGGGUAGUC
rnacentral:rRNA from 1 species